rnacentral:rRNA from 1 species
GGGCCCGCACAAGCGGUGGAGCAUGUGGUUUAAUUCGAUGAUACGCGAGGAACCUUACCAGGACUUAAAUGCAUAACGAUCGGUUGAGAAAUCAACUUUUCUUCGGACGGUAUGCAAGGUGCUGCAUGGUUGUCGUCAGCUCGUGCCGUGAGGUGUCAGGUUAAGUCCUAUAACGAGCGCAACCCCUAUUCUUAGUUGCCAGCGGAUAAUGCCGGGGACUCUAAGAAAACUGCCAGCGCAAGCUGUGAGGAAGGUGGGGAUGACGUCAAAUCAUCACGGCCCUUACGUCCUGGGCCACACACGUGCUACAAUGGUAGGUACAAAGGGCAGCCACUUGGCGACAAGGAGCUAAUCUCUAAAACCUAUCUCAGUUCGGAUUGGAGUCUGCAACUCGACUCUAUGAAGCUGGAAUCGCUAGUAA